AAACUUUCAACAACGGAUCUCUUGGUUCCGGCAUCGAUGAAGAACGCAGCGAACUGCGAUAAGUAGUGUGAAUUGCAGAAUUCAGUGAAUCAUCGAGUCUUUGAACGCACAUUGCGCCCCCUGGCAUUCCGGGGGGCAUUCCUGUCCGAGCGUCAUU
rnacentral:rRNA from 1 species